CAGUCGCCGCGGUAAUACGUAGGUGGCAAGCGUUGUCCGGAAUUAUUGGGCGUAAAGGGCUCGCAGGCGGUUUCUUAAGUCUGAUGUGAAAGCCCCCGGCUCAACCGGGGAGGGUCAUUGGAAACUGGGAAACUUGAGUGCAGAAGAGGUGAGUGGAAUCCCACGUGUAGCGGUGAAAUGCGUAGAGAUGUGGAGGAACACCAGUGGCGAAGGCGACUCUCUGGUCUGUAACUGACGCUGAGGAGCGAAAGCGUGGGGAGCGAACAGGAUUAGAUACCCGCGUAGUCCCUGUCUCUUAACA
rnacentral:rRNA from 1 species